CAGUAGCCGCGGUAAUACGAAGGGGGCUAGCGUUGCUCGGAAUGACUGGGCGUAAAGGGCGCGUAGGCGGCGGCCAAAGUUAGGCGUGAAAUUCCUGGGCUCAACCUUGGGGCUGCGCUUGAUACUUGGUUGCUUGAGUGGGGAAGAGGGUCGUGGAAUUCCCAGUGUAGAGGUGAAAUUCGUAGAUAUUGGGAAGAACACCGGUGGCGAAGGCGGCGACCUGGUCCUUGACUGACGCUGAGGCGCGAAAGCGUGGGGAGCAAACAGGAUUAGAGACCCCUGUAGUCCCUGUCUCUUAUAC
rnacentral:rRNA from 1 species